CUGCCCAAUGAAUAUUGAAUGGCUGCAGUAUUUUGACUGUGCUAAGGUAGCAAAAUAAUUUGUUUUUUAAUUGAAAACUGGAAUGAAAGAUUAAAUAAAUUUUACUAGUCUCAGAUUUUUUAGAAUAAUUUUCAAUAUAAGUAAGAAUGCUUGUAUGCAAUAAUGGGACGAUAAGACCCUAAAAGCUUUAAUUUAAUAAGAUUAUGUAAGUAAAAUUAUAAUUUUUACUGGGGAAGUAAUUUAGUAAGAAUCUAUAGAGAUAUAAACUUGAAUAAAAGGAUAAUGAUCUUUUAAAUAAAGAUAAGUAGUGAAAGUUACUUUAGGGAUAACAGCAUAAUAGUUUUGGGGAGACCAUAUUUAUAAAACUGAUUGUGACCUCGAUGUUGAAUUAAAAAUUCUAUUAGUAGCAGAAGAUAUAUGAGAAGGUUUGUUCAACCUUUAAAAUUUUACGUGAUCUGAGUUCAGACCGGA
rnacentral:rRNA from 1 species